rnacentral:rRNA from 1 species
GCGAAAGGGACUUCGGUCCCGAGUAGAGUGGCGCACGGGUGAGUAACGCGUAAGUAAUCUACCCCUGUAUCUGGAAUAACCCACCGAAAGGUGAGCUAAUACCGGAUACGUUUAUCUUGAUGCGAAUGAUGAUAAAGAAAGGUGGCCUCUUCAUGAAAGCUACCGUACAGGGACGAGCUUGCGUACCAUUAGCUGGUUGGUAGGGUAAUGGCCUACCAAGGCGACGAUGGUUAGCGGGUCUGAGAGGAUGAUCCGCCACACUGGAACUGAAACACGGACCAGACUCCUACGGGAGGCAGCAGUGAGGAAUAUUGCGCAAUGGGGGCAACCCUGACGCAGCGACGCCGCGUGGACGAUGAAGGCCCUUGGGUCGUAAAAUCCUGUCAGAUGGAAAGAAAUGUACAGGUGUUAAUAUCGCCUGUAUUUGACGGUACCAUCAAAGGAAGCACCGGCUAACUCCGUGCC